rnacentral:lncRNA from 1 species
GUAGCAGCAUUUGCCUCUACUACAUCAUCAAUUAUAUGGUCCGUAGCUAGUUGUACAUACUCAUCACCAUCACUAAAGAACUGUUCGAGUUCUUGCUCUUCGUAUGGUUCAUUCUCAAAUACAUCAUUUUCCACUACUUCUUCUCCCAUAUCAUACAGAUCUCUUGGCUUUAGAUGCACAGCAACACUCCAUCCUUUCUUGGUAUGGUUCAUUCUCAUAUACAUCAUUUUUCCACUACUUGUCCCAUAUCAUAUAGAUCUCUUGGCUUUAGAUGCACAACAACACUCCACCCUUUAUUGACAACAUCAUCCACAUAGUACACUAGUUGUGCUUGAGAUGCUUCGAUAUAAGGCUCAUGUUCUUCACGUUCACCUGUAUGAAUCAAUUUAUCAAAAUUAACACAAUUU